rnacentral:sRNA from 1 species
GUCGUUUCGGUUCGAUCGGGAUACUCAUCAAAUUACACUUAUGAAACCGAGAAGACUUCUCUUGCCAAUGGCGGGCCACAUAAACUGACAUGUUAACUAAGCUGCAAAGCCGGUGGAUUACAAAAGCGGAGAGCUCUCAAAUGUUAAUACAUUCGGAGUUUCAUCACAUCAUCGAGCGACCCUUU